rnacentral:rRNA from 1 species
AGCAGUCGCCGCGGUAAUACGAAGGGGGCUAGCGUUGUUCGGAUUUACUGGGCGUAAAGCGCACGUAGGCGGCUUGGUAAGUUAGAGGUGAAAGCCUGGAGCUCAACUCCAGAAUUGCCUUUAAGACUGCCGAGCUAGCAGGUGAGAGAGGUAAGUGGAAUUCCGAGUGUAGAGGUGAAAUUCGUAGAUAUUCGGAAGAACACCAGUGGCGAAGGCGGCUUACUGGCUCAUACUGGACGCUGAGGUGCGAAAGCGUGGGGAGCAAACAGGAUUAGAUACCCCUGUAGUCCCUGUCUCUUAUAC